rnacentral:rRNA from 1 species
UGCUGUUUCGCUGACGAGUGGCGGACGGGUGAGUAAUGUCUGGGAAACUGCCUGAUGGAGGGGGAUAACUACUGGAAACGGUAGCUAAUACCGCAUAACGUCGCAAGACCAAAGAGGGGGACCUUCGGGCCUCUUGCCAUCGGAUGUGCCCAGAUGGGAUUAGCUAGUAGGUGGGGUAACGGCUCACCUAGGCGACGAUCCCUAGCUGGUCUGAGAGGAUGACCAGCCACACUGGAACUGAGACACGGUCCAGACUCCUACGGGAGGCAGCAGUGGGGAAUAUUGCACAAUGGGCGCAAGCCUGAUGCAGCCAUGCCGCGUGUAUGAAGAAGGCCUUCGGGUUGUAAAGUACUUUCAGCGGGGAGGAAGGGAGUAAAGUUAAUACCUUUACUCAUUGACGUUACCCGCAGAAGAAGCACCGGCUAACUCCGUGCCAGCAGCCGCGGUAAUACGGAGGGUGCAAGCGUUAAUCGGAAUUACUGGGCGUAAAGCGCACGCAGGCGGUUUGUUAAGUCAGAUGUGAAAUCCCCGGGCUCAACCUGGGAACUGCAUCUGAUACUGGCAAGCUUGAGUCCCGUAGAGGGGGGUAGAAUUCCAGGUGUAGCGGUGAAAUGCGUAGAGAUCUGGAGGAAUACCGGUGGCGAAGGCGGCCCCCUGGACGAAGACUGACGCUCAGGUGCGAAAGCGUGAGGAGCAAACAGGAUU